rnacentral:lncRNA from 1 species
GGGCGGAUCGUGGUGGCUGCGCUUGCGAGGACCCUGAGUUUAAACUUGAUUUUGUGAGGGGACGAACAGCGUGACAAUUAAAAGAAGAUCUGGGAAUCAAAAGCUUCCUGAGGCCUUCACCAGAAGCAGAUGCUGGUGCCGUGCUUCUACAGCCUGCAGAACUGAAGGACUUUACAGCUUCUCUUUCGCAUAUCCAAAUUGCCAGCAUCACCGCUCUUGCACUCCAAGCCAUUAUUAAGUAAAGUAAAGAACACAAACACUGUGAUACUGCUACACUUGAUCUGAUAACCAAGAAGUCUACUAAGUGACUAACAGAGCAACUGGGAACCUAAUUCUGACCAAAAAGGAGGAAUUGUUUGGCUAAUUGGAAGUGACAGAAACCUUGGGAGAAAGCAACCGCAUACCAAGGAUAAUUAUAAGAAGAAGAGAAGACAUGGAGAAGAGGAGGGAGUAGUUGUGACCGUGGAGGCAGAGAAUGGAGUAAUGUGAUCAUAAAUCAAGGAAUGCUGACAGCCACUAAAGCUGGAGAAGGCCAAGGACAGAUAUUCAAUCCUCCCGUAGAAGUACAGCCCUGCUAAUGCAUUGAUUUUGGACUUCUGGCCUCAGAACUGUAAGAGAAUAAAUUUCUAUUGUUUUAAGCCUUCA